rnacentral:lncRNA from 1 species
GUCUUGUCCUAGGCCGGGCUUCAGCUUAGUGCUGGAGGCUCCCCUCACUGGGGAAGAACUGGAGGGCCUGCCUCAUAGUGGUCACACCUCAGGAAAGUUCCCCGGAGGCUUGGUGUCCAGCCCAAGGCUCGCCCUGGCUGUGACUGACCUUCUGGGACGCUGACCUCUGUGUUUUGUUUUGACAGGCUUCUGGGUUGAGCUCCCCUGAGGAUGAGAGCCUUUCUUCCGUGACCAGACGGUCAUCCCUGAGGUGGGCCCUGAAGCACAGCACCCCAGCUGGAGCUGCCCUCAGCUGGCACUCAGGGUUACAGGGUGAUGUCCCCAGCCACCAGGAAAGGGGCCCUGCAGGCAGGUCCCCACGACCUGCACGCUCCUCCUGGGACCUCCUGUCAUCCCCAGGAGGGGUCAGCCUCAUGGCCUCCUUCAGAAAGAGGCGGCUUUCUACCAUCAAGGCCUCUGAAGUGUCCAGUGAGCAGCUUGGAUCCAACUCAGACCCCUUUGCUUUUGAGGAAGACCCGCCCGUGCCAGCCUCAGUCACCCAGCAGCAGCAGCAGGGCAAGUCCCCACCAGCAAGGAGAUCGCCACCAAACUUGGGAUUGCCCGGGAUCCCAGACACCGCCAGGAGGAGGCCUCGGGACCUAAAGAGGCUGGCUGCUAUGACAGAGCGAGUGAGGCAGUGGGAAAUCCACCUGCUUCAGAACAUCGAGGAGGCCACCCAGCACGAACUCACCAUCGAGGACGACUGAGUGCUCAGCCCUGGGCCCAGGACGCAGCUGUGCUCAGGAGCUCCUGCCAUGGCCUGACUUACUCAUCUGUCCGUCCAACCAUCUGUAUGUCUGUAGACCUUCCUCAGGACUUGCCCUGGGUCUGACCUUGCUCUCCAUUGUGCCUCUGGAUGGGGUGGGAGGAACUGGCUGAUGAUCUUGUUACUCAGAUUCCAAACAUGGGGUCUUCAUCCCCAGCAGAGAUGAAGGGAUGUAGGGGGCGGUGGGCAGGUGUGGACAGGGGAGAUGGAUGCCCCAGGGCCACCCUGGAGUACCCGGAGAUGAGAUACGUCUUCUUCCCACCCACCCUGCCUCCUUCCCCAGCACAGCCAGGUGAGUGUAGGGAACAGUGUAGGGAACAGGACCAAGUUUAAGGUGGGCUGCCUAGCAACCCACCCGGCUUCGGUGGACAAGCCUUCACACCUAGCAGGCUUUGAACACCAUUCCAGGAAAGACCAGAGCAGUGGUUCUCAUUUGGAAGAUAUUCUGACAGUUUGCGGGCACUGGUUUGUUUAGUGUUGUUGGGAGAGGAAUUUAACCCCCUCUAGUAGCAGAGGCCUUCUCCUGUCCUUUUCUAGAGCUGAGCUCUCUGCCUCAUUGCUUAGGAUAAGGAUCCCACCAAAGGGCUGGAGGUAUCUAUGACCCUCAUGCUAUAAGGAAAACGAAGCAGGGUGCCCGGGGCACUUCGAUCAACACAAACCUCGCAUUAGCCUCCCAGGUCCAGAUGUCUCUGAGACUUGUCUGUUAGUGGACACAUUGUGGUUACCAACAUAGAGCUAGUUUUAUUUUUGCAAAUGCUUUCACGCCCCACUUUACCUUAAAAAAAUGUUUAUUUUCUGCCUUCUAAAAAACAAAGAUUGCUUAUGUUUUCAGUACCAUCCUGCACACCUCCACAGCCCCUCCUCCAGGCCAGUCCUAGGAGACCUGGCUCUUCUCAGGGACACAGAUAAAGCCUAUUGCUAGAGCAGACUCCAACAGGGCA